rnacentral:sRNA from 1 species
AGUAAACAGAAGAACUAAAGAAGAUCAUAAACAAUCAAUGACUGAAUUGACUGAAUGAACUGGAGCGAAUCUAAUAUAACUCGAAUGUCUACUACAGUUGAGUUACUAGAUCUACUGACUACUGCUCUAGACUCUUGACAAUCUAGAUGAGACUAAAAGGCAGUGAGUAGAGGAGAGGUCUAGUCUAGAAUCUAUAUCUACAUAUAGUCUCUUGACCUAAAGUUUAACAGUUAUAAAGACUGAUUAGACUAGAUCAGAGAUCAGCGCCUGCGAACAUAGCUAGAAUUCUGGCUGAAAAUUUCUGCAAUUACUCAUACCAUUCAGGAGUUGAAGAUAGUUAACUUCCUAGUCCAAACC